rnacentral:rRNA from 1 species
GACGAACGUUGGCGGCGUGCUUAAUACAUGCAAGUCCACUGAAGCAGUGGUAGCAAUAUCGCUGUGGAGGUGGCGCACGGGUGAGUAACGCGUAGGUAAUCUGCCUUCAGGUCUGGCAUAACUCCGGGAAACCGGGGCUAAUAGCAGAUGAUGCAGCGGCUCGACAUCGAGACAGUUGUUAAAGCUAUGGCGCCUGAAGAUGAGCCUGCGUCUGAUUAGCUAGUUGGCGGGGUAACGGCCCACCAAGGCAACGAUCAGUAGCUGGUCUGAGAGGAUGAUCAGCCACACUGGAACUGAGACACGGUCCAGACUCCUACGGGAGGCAGCAGUAAGGAAUAUUGCUCAAUGGGAGAAAUCCUGAAGCAGCAACGCCGCGUGAGGGACGAAGGGCUUUUGCUUGUAAACCUCUGUAGUGAGAGAAAAAAAUCCCAAUCUUUGGGACAUGAUGGUAUCUCAAAAGUAAGCCCCGGCUAACUACGUG